GCAAAUUUAAAGCAAUGUCACACAGAAAAUAUGUUUUGUGUCUAAAGAAAGUGCUGUGCAGAGUUUGGGUGUCUGAUCGCUCCCCCUCAUCAGAGGAUCUAUGGCUAUGAUCAGGCUCUGUGGAGAGAUCUAUAAUAUAUAUUCUGUGGCCAGUCCAAGUUAAGCCUUAAAAGUAAAUUAUAAAAACUUGAUUUCAAUUCUACAAUUGCACAAACUUAGCCAAAGCCCAUUAUCCCACCAAAAAUCUGGCAGUUGAAUUCUGAACCAGCUGAAGGCAUUAAAAGUAAUAACAGCCUGCAGACUCAGAUUUGGCCUUAUGUCAAAAUGUGCUCACUUAACAGGAAACUGCCUCUUCCAGUUUCUACCUGAAUGCAUCAUUUAAAGGUAUAAAUGCAUGAAAUCUGUUCGUCCAGUUAAUAUGGAACUUCCCUGAACCUUUUACGUCUUUCUCUCACUGUUUGUAUGACGACAUCCUGCCAGAAGGAAAUAAAUGUCCUCUGACUUUAUUUUUAGAAUCUAGUGGCCAAAGUUCAAAGUACAGACAAAUGUAUUUAUUCACAGUGUGUGUUGUAAGAACUGCUUUUAAAAAAGGAUCAGCUGACAUGCAACUACUCUCAAUUUGGCUCUUUGAAUCAUCGACUUUUUCGUGCAAAGAAAAAGGCUUUUUUCACUCUGCACUUAUUACUCAUCUGCAUAUUUGGAGACAAAGGGAAACAGGUAAUUUGGCAUGAGAUUCAACAUGAGGCUGUGUGAUGAACAUGAGGAGGAGCAGACAGCAGAGUCUGCAGCCUCCAGUUGCUCCAGGAACACCGAGCGGCUCAACGUGACACGUUUCAGCCGCCAACACCUGCCUGCAGAUGAUGACGAACAGAUCAGCAGAGCAGAGUUUCCUACAGCCGUCUAUCUGCUGAUGAAACAGAAUCAGUCCCAACAGCUGAUUGAUUUCAACUAUAACCUGGAAGCUUCAGUGGCAAAAAUUGUGUGUGUGAGGACGAGCAGUAAGGGAUUUCCUCCAUCUUUCUAGACUGCCUGAACAUCACAGUUAUGAUGCUGUCAAGAAAAAUGAAUGCUUGAAGAGUGGCCACUUGAUGGGAAACCUCAGAUUCAUGAAUCCAAUCGAGAUGUGAGAAAUCUCUCCAACAAGCUGGACAUCAGCCCUUUCUGUCAAGUGCUGGAUGUGAAUCAUCUGUCUUCAUGUGAUAAAGGUCGUUCUGACUCAGCAGGAUUGAGCUGCUCAUUUCAUGAUGUGGUGGAGCGGGUCACCAGACCUACAGCUGGAAACAAAAAUCCAAACUGAGCUUUUGCAGUUAAGUUGUAAUCAUGUCUGAAUUCCUGCACAUUUUAUUUCAGUUUUCCUUUAUAUAAUUUUUUGAGUGUAUUGCUUUAGUGCCAGUCAUGACAUCAAAAACAAGGACAAAGCCAGGAAGAUGAUUUCCUAUUGGUCAGUUAAAGGUCCAUUGUGUAGGAUCAACCCGAUCUCACUCCAAAGUUGUGGUGAACUUUGAGACAUUUUGAGGUACGUCCUCACCAUGUUUCUUUUCCUUAACCUAACCACAGUAACUUAACAUUCAUUACGUAACUGCAGUUAAGGACAUACGAACCGUUCUAUGAGAAUACGUCAAAUACCAGUGCUUGGUCAUUUGGGGGUUGACUUCUGGAGUUGGAUACCAACAAAAAAAGCUAUCUUUUCAUACCAGCGUGAUAUGCAGGUGGUCACCGUUAUUGUUUAAUGGCACCCAGCGGCAUCAGGGGGAAAUGUAACGUGUUUAUUGUUGAACAUGUCCUGUUAAAAUGGAAGUGUAAUUUGAAAACAGAUAAUGCAUGUAACAGGCUGAAGUUAACACGCACACUGGGUACCUUGCAUGUCAUAUCUCGAUAUAGAAAGUUCAUGACAAAAUACUGAUAUAAACAAUAAACACUAAAGGAAUUCUAACCAGGAAAAAUUUCAGCUGGUUACAACCUGCAGUCCUCACUGCUCGAUGCCACUCAAUCUCCCUAAAUCUGACACACUGGAUCUUUAACUAUAGAGAAUAUUAUGGUUUUGGUUUAAUACAGAACAAGUCUGCAGUUCUUCGACACACAACUUGUAUAUUUAACCAAAGUCAUAAUCUUUCCUAACAUUAACCAAAGUGCUCUUGUUGCCUAAAUCUAAGACUCAAAAUCUAAAUGUAGCAAUAUAAAGAAUAUAAAAACUUAAUUUCAAGGAAAGAGGGUAAAUUUUUUCAGACUCCUUUAAAGAAUUCUUUUAUUUUGUAAUAUAUUGUUAUCAAAGCUUGUCACCUGUGACAGAUAAACUAUUGUAGCUGGCUUCACGCUCUAUUGUGUGAUGUUAUUAAUCGUUCAUCUGUUUUUCUGUUAACCAGUUCUCUAAGAUAUGACCAAUAGAGGACUCAGAUUUUGUCAUUUUGUUUCUUCAUACACAUGAGUGAUUUUAUUUGUUAAAAAUAAGCUAUAAAAUCACAACACCCUCAGAGUAUUCUUUUAUAUCUACAGAUUAAAUUAUACUUUUAUACAGACUUCCAACUAAAGAAUUAUCAUUUAUUUGUUUAUAUUAUUAUUACAAUAAAAAGUUGGCUGCAUUGUCCAGCCCCAGUCAUCAAAAUUUCAUUUAUCUGCAAUGAAAACCUAAAUUUUCCGUUUUAAUCUUGUGUGAUCACUGAACAGAUUCUGUUUAAAGGCUGCAUAUUGUCAAAUACAUUUUUUUAUAUAUAUAUAUUUUUGAACUAGCCUACAGAAGAAAUAACAGUGAACAUUACAGUGUUUUUUUCUCAUAUUGUUUGUUUUCUAAUACUUUCUUUUUGUUUAUAAUAGGUGUGUCUACAAGCUGUCAUACAUCUGGAUGUACAUAUUGUUUGUGUUUAUGAGCCGGCCUCUGUAUUCUUUUAGGAACGAUGGUAAAUUUUAAAAUUGCAGGCUUAAUUUGGGCCUUAUUGGGAGAUUAGAACUACUGAGGUCAUGAUGCGUGCUUGUGUAACACAUGGAAAUCAGCAGUGCCGUUGUUUUUUCUAUUCAAAAAGAAGCUAAAAAAAAAAAAAAAAAAACCUGACAAAACAAUAUUUACCUAAAUGUUCCUGAAAACAAAAAUCCAUACAGUAUAGGCUUUAUAAUGUCGAAUAAAUAUAACAAGUUUUUUUUGUUGUUGUUGUUUUUCAAAUAGAUGUUUCACUGGUGGUGGUCCCAGUGGGAUUGAAACUGUAGCUAUGCAUCACAAAAUUGUUUUAAGUGUGUUUAUCUGUUUCAUAAAGUUUCUGCUCUCUGCUGUGAAGCAAUAAAGUUUUUAAAAAUCUGAA